UACGAAGGGGGCUAGCGUUGCUCGGAAUCACUGGGCGUAAAGGGUGCGUAGGCGGGUCUUUAAGUCAGGGGUGAAAUCCUGGAGCUCAACUCCAGAACUGCCCUCGAUACUGGCGAUCUUCGAGUCCGGGAGAGGUGAGUGGAACUCCGAGUGUAGAGGUGAAAUUCGUAGAUAUUCGGAAGAACACCAGUGGCGAAGGCGGCUCACUGGCCCGGUACUGACGCUGAGGUGCGAAAGCGUGGGGAGCAAACAGG
rnacentral:rRNA from 1 species